GGAAUUCGAUUAGAGUUUGAUCCUGGCUCAGAUUGAACGCUGGCGGCAGGCCUAACACAUGCAAGUCGAGCGGAUGAGAAGAGCUUGCUCUUCGAUUCAGCGGCGGACGGGUGAGUAAUGCCUAGGAAUCUGCCUGGUAGUGGGGGACAACGUUUCGAAAGGAACGCUAAUACCGCAUACGUCCUACGGGAGAAAGCAGGGGACCUUCGGGCCUUGCGCUAUCAGAUGAGCCUAGGUCGGAUUAGCUAGUUGGUGAGGUAAUGGCUCACCAAGGCGACGAUCCGUAACUGGUCUGAGAGGAUGAUCAGUCACACUGGAACUGAGACACGGUCCAGACUCCUACGGGAGGCAGCAGUGGGGAAUAUUGGACAAUGGGCGAAAGCCUGAUCCAGCCAUGCCGCGUGUGUGAAGAAGGUCUUCGGAUUGUAAAGCACUUUAAGUUGGGAGGAAGGGCAUUAACCUAAUACGUUAGUGUUUUGACGUUACCGACAGAAUAAGCACCGGCUAACUCUGUGCCAGCAGCCGCGGUAAUACAGAGGGUGCAAGCGUUAAUCGGAAUUACUGGGCGUAAAGCGCGCGUAGGUGGUUUGUUAAGUUGGAUGUGAAAGCCCCGGGCUCAACCUGGGAACUGCAUCCAAAACUGGCAAGCUAGAGUACGGUAGAGGGUGGUGGAAUUUCCUGUGUAGCGGUGAAAUGCGUAGAUAUAGGAAGGGAACCCAGUGGCGAAAGCGACCACCUGGACUGAUACUGACACUGAGGUGCGAAAGCGUGGGGAGCAAACAGGAUUAAAUACCCUGUUAGUCACGCCCUAAACGAU
rnacentral:rRNA from 1 species